CCUUGGCUCCUCUCCGUAAGUGGUAACCAUUUUAGGAACGGGAGCCAUUUUAGAAUGUAGGACCGUUGGUUCCAUUUUGUCUGGUAGAGAACUCUAUCAGUUGGAAACUCUGUGUAACAUGGAGCAGAACUCUUUGGAUCAUCACAGACAUGGCAUACAAGGCUUGCUGCCUGGACUGAGUGAGGAACGGGAGGUGCUCUUCAGAGACUGCCUUGAAAAGUCUUGGGGAAGAGACAGACUCCAUCCCAAUACAUUCAUCUCGGCUAUAUAUUUUUGAAGACAACUUGUUUUAAUUAUUUACAGUUCUGAAGAUCGAACUCGGGACCUUGUGCUUGCAAGGCAGGAAAUGGCAUUACUCAGCUAAAUCUCCGCCCCAAUGAUGCUUUUCUUAAAAUGAGAACAAAUCCAAAUCUCAAGGUCUUAUCUUGUACUGAGACCAGUUUUUACAUUUCAAUGACCUAAGGACCUGGAAUGUUAAUGAUCUUACUGAACUGCUCCUGAAGAAUCCCCAUCAAUGGACCUGACUUCAGUUGGAUUGAUAGAUUACUUCUCACCACUCAGAAACCAGAAAUACAGAGACGAAGCAAUGAGCAGGAGGUUAGAGUAUAAUGGAUCCAAGUUUCACAAAGUGCAGAUGUCAAGCAGAACUCUGGAUUUCUACCUACUUUUUCUACCUCUACAGAUGACUUGUUCUCCUGACCAG
ensembl:lncRNA